AAUCCGAAUUAAUAGCUUCCGGCGUAAAGUGUGGCUAAGGUCAUAUCAUAAAAUAAAGUUAAAUUUUAACUAAGCCGUAAAAAGCCCUAGUUAAUAUAAAAUAGUCUACGAAAGUGACUUUAAAAGCCUGAACCCACGACAGCUGAGAUCCAAACUGGGAUUAGAUACCCCACUAUGCUCAGCCUUAAACUUAAGAGGCCAGUUUUAACAAGACCUCUCGCCAGAGUACUACUAGCCAAAGCUUAAAACUCAAAGGACUUGGCGGUGCUUUAUAUCCAUCUAGAGGAGCCUGUUCUAUAAUCGAUAAACCCCGGUAAACCUCACCAACCCUUGCCAAAU
rnacentral:rRNA from 1 species